GACGGAGGGUGCAAGCGUUGUUCGGAUUUACUGGGCGUAAAGGGCGCGUAGGCGGUCGUGACAAGUCACUUGUGAAAUCUCCGGGCUUAACUCGGAACGGUCAAGUGAUACUGUCGGACUAGAGUACAGAAGGGGCAACUGGAAUUCUCGGUGUAGCGGUGAAAUGCGUAGAUAUCGAGAGGAACACCUGCGGCGAAGGCGGGUUGCUGGGCUGAUACUGACGCUGAGGCGCGAAAGCCAGGGGAGCGAACGGG
rnacentral:rRNA from 1 species